AAUUAAGAUAAUCCCAAUAAACAUGUUUUUGUAAGACCAUAUUCGGUAUUCGGAGAAUUGUCAAAAAAUAUUCAUAUUUAGUAUAUAAAAAUUAUGUCCAAAUGCGAAACAUAUUCGAACCUGUGACCUAUCUUUUGGAACUUUGGUCAUUUGACCGCUAGAGCAACACAAGUUAUUUGUUAAUAUCUUACAAGGAUUAAUAUUUAUAUCAAAACAUGAGAUUUCCC
rnacentral:lncRNA from 1 species